GCUAGGUUCGCAUAGCGGCAAUUGCACCUCGCUGUAGACGAGGCGGUCGUAAGGCCUACGGGGGUUCGAGUCCCUCACCUAGCA
rnacentral:tRNA from 1 species